CAGCCGCCACGGUAAAACGUAGGUGGCAAGCGUUGUCCGGAAUUAUUGGGCGUAAAGGGCUCGCAGGCGGUUUCUUAAGUCUGAUGUGAAAGCCCCCGGCUCAACCGGGGAGGGUCAUUGAAAACUGGGAAACUUGAGUGCAGAAGAGGAGAGUGGAAUUCCACGUGUAGCGGUGAAAUGCGUAGAGAUGUGGAGGAACAUCAGUGGCGAAGGCGACUCUCUGGUCUGUAACUGACGCUGAGGAGCGAAAGCGUGGGGAGCGAACAGGAUUAGAUACCCCGGUAGUCCCUGUCUCUUAUAC
rnacentral:rRNA from 1 species